GAUGAACGCUGGCGGCGUGCUUAACACAUGCAAGUCGAACGGAAAGGCUCCUGCUUGCAGGGGUACUCGAGUGGCGAACGGGUGAGUAACACGUGGGUGAUCUGCCCUGCACUUCGGGAUAAGCCUGGGAAACUGGGUCUAAUACCGGAUAGGACGUUGGUUUGGAUACCAUUGUGGAAAGUUUUUUCGGUGUGGGAUGAGCUCGCGGCCUAUCAGCUUGUUGGUGGGGUAAUGGCCUACCAAGGCGUCGACGGGUAGCCGGCCUGUGAGGGUGUACGGCCACAUUGGGACUGAGAUACGGCCGAGACUCCUACGGGAGGCAGCAGUGGGGAAUAUUGCACAAUGGGCGCAAGCCUGAUGCAGCGACGCCGCGUGGGGGAUGACGGCCUUCGGGUUGUAAACUCCUUUCGCUAGGGACGAAGCGCAAGUGACGGUACCUGGAGAAGAAGCACCGGCUAACUACGUG
rnacentral:rRNA from 1 species